rnacentral:rRNA from 1 species
AUGAACGCUAGCUACAGGCUUAACACAUGCAAGUCGAGGGGCAGCACAGUGUAGCAAUACACGGGUGGCGACCGGCGCACGGGUGCGUAACGCGUAUCCAACCUUCCCGUUACUCUUGGAUAGCCUUCCGAAAGGGAGAUUAAUACAAGAUGGUAUUCAAAUUCCGCAUGUUAUUUGAAUUAAAGAUUUAUCGGUAACGGAUGGGGAUGCGUGACAUUAGCUAGAUGGAGAGGUAACGGCUCCCCAUGGCGACGAUGUCUAGGGGGUUCUGAGAGGAAGGUCCCCCACACUGGAACUGAGACACGGUCCAGACUCCUACGGGAGGCAGCAGUGAGGAAUAUUGGACAAUGGAUGGAAAUCUGAUCCAGCCAUGCCGCGUGCAGGACUACAGUCCUAUGGAUUUUAAACUGCUUUUGUAUGGGAGCAAUAAGUGCUACGAGUAGCGCGAUGAGAGUACCAUACGAAUAAGCAUCGGCUAACUCCGUG